CGCAAGCCUGACGGAGCAAGACCGCGUGGGGGAGGAAUGCCUUAGGGUUGUAAACCCCUUUUCUUUGGGAAGAACAAAAUGACGGUACCAAAGGAAUCAGCCUCGGCUAACUCCGUGCCAGCAGCCGCGGUAAUACGGAGGAGGCAAGCGUUAUCCGGAAUGAUUGGGCGUAAAGCGUCCGCAGGUGGCAAUGUAAGUCUGCUGUCAAAACCCAGGGCUCAACUCUGGUCAGGCAGUGGAAACUACAUAGCUAGAGUUCGGUAGGGGCAAAGGGAAUUCCCGGUGUAGCGGUGAAAUGCGUAGAGAUCGGGAAGAACAUCGGUGGCGAAAGCGCUCUGCUGGGCCGCAACUGACACUCAGGGACGAAAGCUAGGGGAGCG
rnacentral:rRNA from 1 species